AUUGAACGCUGGCGGCAUGCUUUACACAUGCAAGUCGAACGGCAGCGCGGGCUUCGGCCUGGCGGCGCGUGGCGCACGGGUGAGUAAUACAUCGGAACGUGCCCAGUAGUGGGGGAUAGCUCGGCGAAAGCCGGAUUAAUACCGCAUACGACCUGAGGGUGAAAGCGGGGGAUCUUCGGACCUCGCGCUAUUGGAGCGGCCGAUGGCAGACUGGCUAGUUGGUGGGGUAAAGGCCUACCAAGGCGACGAUCUGUAGCUGGUCUGAGAGGACGACCAGCCACACUGGGACUGAGACACGGCCCAGACUCCUACGGGAGGCAGCAGUGGGGAAUUUUGGACAAUGGGCGAAAGCCUGAUCCAGCAAUGCCGCGUGUGUGAUGAAGGCCUUCGGGUUGUAAAGCACUUUUGGCGGGAACGAAAAGGACUGUGCCAAUACCACGGUUCGAUGACGGUACCCGCAGAAUAAGCACCGGCUAACUACGUG
rnacentral:rRNA from 1 species